rnacentral:rRNA from 1 species
GACGAACGCUGGCGGCGUGCUUAACACAUGCAAGUCGAACGGUAAGGCCCUUCGGGGUACACGAGUGGCGAACGGGUGAGUAACACGUGGGUGAUCUGCCCUGCACUUCGGGAUAAGCCUGGGAAACUGGGUCUAAUACCGGAUAGGACCACUGCCUGCAUGGGGGGUGGUGAAAAGCUUUUGCGGUGUGGGAUGGGCCCGCGGGCUAUCAGCUUGUUGGUGGGGUGAUGGCCUACCAAGGCGACGACGGGUAGCCGGCCUGAGAGGGUGACCGGCCACACUGGGACUGAGAUACGGCCCAGACUCCUACGGGAGGCAGCAGUGGGGAAUAUUGCACAAUGGGCGCAAGCCUGAUGCAGCGACGCCGCGUGAGGGAUGACGGCCUUCGGGUUGUAAACCUCUUUCAGCACCGACGAAGCGCAAGUGACGGUAGGUGCAGAAGAAGGACCGGCCAACUACGUGCCAGCCGCCGCCGUAA